rnacentral:rRNA from 1 species
AGGGAAUCUUCCGCAAUGGACGAAAGUCUGACGGAGCAACGCCGCGUGAGCGAAGAAGGUCUUCGGAUCGUAAAGCUCUGUUGUUAGGGAAGAACAAGUAUCGGAGGAAAUGCCGGUACCUUGACGGUACCUGACGAGAAAGCCACGGCUAACUACGUGCCAGCAGCCGCGGUAAUACGUAGGUGGCAAGCGUUGUCCGGAAUUAUUGGGCGUAAAGCGCGCGCAGGCGGUCCUUUAAGUCUGAUGUGAAAUCUUGCGGCUCAACCGCAAGCGGUCAUUGGAAACUGGGGGACUUGAGUGCAGAAGAGGAAAGCGGAAUUCCACGUGUAGCGGUGAAAUGCGUAGAGAUGUGGAGGAACACCAGUGGCGAAGGCGGCUUUCUGGUCUGUAACUGACGCUGAGGCGCGAAAGCGUGGGGAGCAAAC